UGUGUGUCUGUGUGUGUAUACAGCAGGUACUUGAAGUUGGCGUUGGUACAGAUGAUGUGUGUCUGUGUGUGUAUACAGCAGGUACUUGACGUUGGUACAGAUGGUGUGUGUCUGUGUGUGUAUACAGCAGGUACUUGACGUUGGCGUUGGUACAGAUGGUGUGUGUCUGUGUGUGUAUACAGCAGGUACUUGACGU